rnacentral:rRNA from 1 species
CCUGCUCAAUGCUAAAGUAAAUAGCCGCAGUCAUCUGUGCUAAGGUAGCAUAAUAAUUUGUCUUCUAAUUUAAGAAUAGAAUGAAAGGAUAAACGGACCAUUAACUUUAAAAUUAUAUAAAAAUUAAAUUACUAUAAAAGUAAAAAAGCCUUUAUAUAAAGAAAAGACGAUAAGACCCAUUCGAACUUAACCUUUAGUUCAGCUGGGGUGGCUAUAAAAUAAAAACUUAUAAAUUACCAAUAAACAACUUUUUUAAAAAAUUCCAACAAGUUACCGAAGGGAUAACAGCGCAAUAAUUUACAAAAGAUCCUAUAUAAUAAAUAAAUUGCGACCUCGAUGUUGAAUUAUUAAAACUAUUUUAAGCAAAAAUAAAAAAAGUAAGUCUGUUCGACUUUUAAUCUAAUACAU